rnacentral:rRNA from 1 species
AAUAUUGCACAAUGGGGGAAACCCUGAUGCAGCGACCCCGCGUGAGCGAAGAAGGCCUUCGGGUCGUAAAGCCCUGUCCUCAGGGAAGAAGGAAGUGACGGUACCUGAGGAGGAAGCCCCGGCGAACUACGUGCCAGCCGCCGCGGUAAUACGUAGGGGGCGAGCGUUGUCAGGCAUGACUGGGCGUAAAGGUCGCGUAGACGGCUUUUUAAGUCUGGAGUGAAAGUCCUGCUUUCAAGGUGGGAAUUGAUUUGGAGACUGGAAGGCUUGAGUGCGGAAGAGGUAAGUGGAAUUCCCAGUGUAGCGGUGAAAUGCGUAGAGAUUGGGAAGAACACCAGCGGCGAAGGCGACUUACUGGGCCGUAACUGACGUUGAUGCGCGAAAGCGUGGGGAGCGAACAGG